rnacentral:lncRNA from 1 species
UUAAUCUUUGAGCCGAGUCUGGAGGACGUGCUCCUUUCUGACAGCCUACUUUGUCAUCGCUGUUCCCAGUCACAGCUGAAUCUGUCAACAUGAUCGCUUCACCUACUCGCCAUGCACAGCCUAGAGCUGCAAAUCCCGGUUGGAGUAGAUAAAUCCCCUGCCUCUUCGAUGGAGCUGUGGAUUUCAGGUGUUGCUUCAUGUGCUCCAGUCAAUUUGCAUGAAGCUAGUACAAGAAAGGAACCACAUCACUUACGUCUGUGAACUUUCUGGAACAAAAAUCUGGCACAUCAGUCGGUUACUUUAUCCAUUACAAUUCACACAAGUGGAAAGGCUACAGCCAAGGGCACGCCCGAUGCAGUUCUCAGGCUUUCCUUGAGUAACCCUAUGCCACACGCACUCCUGUUCACACCGCAGCCCACCCAGCCAGCUUCGGGAAGUACGCGCCAGACGACUGUUCUGGCUCCGAGGAACCUGGGGUAGAGAGCGCGUAGCGUGCACAGCAAGCCGUUGAGUCUGUGGUCCCAUCUAAGCCCUCUAGGGCAAAGGGAGGUGUCCCCAGGAGAAGAGA